rnacentral:rRNA from 1 species
GAUGAACGCUGGCGGCGUGCCUAAUACAUGCAAGUCGAGCGAACGUACGAGAAGCUUUCUUUUCUGAUGUUAGCGGCGGACGGGUGAGUAACACGUGUAUAACCUACCUAUAAGACUGUUAUAACUUCGGGAAACCGGAGCUAAUACCGGAUAAUAUUUUGCACCUCAUGGUUCACACGUGAAAGACGGUCUUUCUGUCACUUAUAGAUUGAUCCGCGCUGCAUUAGCUAGUUGGUAAGGUAACGGCUUACCAAGGCAACGAUGCAUAGCCGACCUGAGAGGGAGAUCGGGUACACGGGAACAGAGAAACAGCAGAGACACCUACAGGAGGCAGCAGUAGGGAAUCUUCCGCGAGGGGCGAGAGCGUGACGGAGCAAAACCGCGGGAGGGAUGAAGGAGUUAGGAUCGGAAAACGCUGUUAGUAGGAGAGAACAAAAGUGUAAUUAACGGGGAACAUAUUGACGGUACCUAAACAGAAAGCCACGGCUAACUACGUG